UACCUCCAGUUCCACAUCUGUGAAAUGAAACCAUUCUUGUUCUAAGCUUGCAAAAGAAGCAUGACAAUGUUGGAGUCAGACAGGCAUUUUCUGCUGAUCAGUCCAUAGUGUUCUUACAAGAGAAUGAAAGCAAAGAGACCAUGAAGACAGUGCCCAAGGAACUUACCAGUCUGUAUGUAGGUAGAAACAGGCCCUGAAGAAUGCCCUAAAAUGAAGCAAGGCAAUUUCUUGAUCAUAAAGGAUCAAGAAAAAUAAUGGAUAACACACUACAAGAAUCGUGGACUUGCAGAGCUCUACCAUUAUUUGGGAUAUUAUCCCUGUUAUUUCACACAUGAAAAAAUUGAGUUAUAUCAAGUUGAAGUCAUGUCUCAAAGCCAUACAGCUAUGUUGGUCUGAAAAUUAAAGAUGAAGAAGAUACUGUUUAACAAAGUUGGUGCUUCAUUUAUAUGAAGGGCAAGGCUGAAAGUUUCACAAAACCAGCUUUAGUAAUAUCUACCACUUAUUGAGCAGUGGUUAUAGUCUGAAGACUUUGAAUACACUUUUAUUAUCCUCCCAAUAUGCCAGAAAGAUAGACUCUUAUUUUAUCUCAUUUUAUGAUUUUAU
rnacentral:lncRNA from 1 species